AUCACAGUGACAACUGUGAGUGCAAAAUUAAAGUGCAAGGGUUUGUUGUAACAGAGAUCUUCACUAGUACACUUCUGGAAGGAACAGAUGUUUUAUUAAGCAAAACAAUCAUGAUGACUGAAGACUUCAUCAAACCGAAAACUCCAGUCUUAUCAGUGCAGAAGACUGCAAAUGGAAACUUUAAUGUAACUUGGGAUGACCAGUAUGAAAUAAGUGAUUUGGUAGGAAGAAAUUUUUUGGAAGACUUGAAAAUAAAUGUGACCUAUGGCAUCAAAGGAGGACUUGAAAAUAUAUGCAAGACGGUGCCGAACACUGUGGGAUCCUUUGAAAUUAUGGGCAA